UUGCCCUAGUAACGGCGAGUGAAGCGGCAACAGCUCAAAUUUGAAAUCCGGCCUCUCGGCCCGAGUUGUAAUUUGCAGAGGAUGCUUUUGGCGACGCGCCUUCCGAGUUCCCUGGAACGGGACGCCAGAGAGGGUGAGAGCCCCGUACGGUCUGGCGCCUAGCCUUUGUAAAGCUCCUUCGACGAGUCGAGUAGUUUGGGAAUGCUGCUCUAAAUGGGAGGUAAACUCCUUCUAAAGCUAAAUACCCGCCAGAGACCGAUAGCGCACAAGUAGAGUGAUCGAAAGAUGAAAAGCACUUUGAAAAGAGAGUUAAACAGCACGUGAAAUUGUUGAAAGGGAAGCGCUUGUGACCAGACUCGGGCCCUGGCAGCUCAGCCGUUCCUUCCAGGGCGGUGCACUCUGCCUGUCCGGGCCAGCAUCAGUUUCCGGGGGGGGAGAAACGCGGUGGGAAAGUGGCCCUUCGGGGUGUUAUAGCCCGUCGUCAUGCCCUCCCGGGGACUGAGGUCUGCGCGCCCCGGCGCGAGGAUGCUGGCGUAAUGGUCACCAGCGACCCGUCUUGAAACACGGACCAAGGAGUCAUCCUAAUAUGCGAGUGUUAGGGCGUCAAACCCCCUACGCGAAAUGAAAGUGAACGGAGGUGAGAGCUUCGGCGCAUCAUCGACCGAUCCUGAUGUUCUCGGAUGGAUUUGAGUAAGAGCAUAUUGGGCUGGACCCGAAAGAAGGUGAACUAUGCUUGGAUAGGGUAAAGCCAGAGGAAACUCUGGUGGAGGCUCGCAGCGGUUCUGACGUGCAAAUCGAUCGUCAAAUCUGAGCAUGGGGGCGAAAGACUAAUCGAACCUUUUAGUAGCUGGUUUCCGCCGAAGUUUCCCUCAGGAUAGCAGUGCUGAGCUCAGUUUUAUGAGGUAAAGCGAAUGAUUAGGGACUCGGGGGCGCUUUUUAGCCUUCAUCCAUUCUCAAACUUUAAAUAUGUAAGAAGCCCUUGUUGCUUAGCUGAACGGGGGCAAUUCUUCGAAUGUCGCAGCACUAGUGGGCCAUUUUUGGUAAGCAGAACUGGCGAUGCGGGAUGAACCGAUCGCGAGGAUAAGGUGCCGGAGUGGACGCUCAUCAGACACCACAAAAGGUGUUAUCACAUCUAGACAGCAGGACGGUGGCCAUGGAAGUCGGAAUCCGCUAAGGACU
rnacentral:rRNA from 1 species